CAAUAGCGUAUAUUAAAGCUGUUGCGGUUAAAAAGCUCGUAGUUGGAUUUCUGUCAAGGACAACUGGUCCGCCCUCCGGGUGAGCACAUAGUUUGGUCUUGACAUCUUGCUGGAAGCUGUUGCUGCACUUGGCUGUGUGGCGCAGUGUUCAGCACUUUCGCUUUGAGGAAAUUGGAGUGUUUCAAGCAGGCACAUGCCUUUGGACACAGUAGCAUGGAAUAAUUAGAUUGGGCUUUUGCUCCAAUUUGUCGGUUUCUGGAGCUGAGGUGAGUAUUAAUGGGGAUUGUUGGGGGCAUCCGAAUUUAGCCGUCAGAGGUGAAAUUCUUGGAUCUGCUAAAGACGGACAACUGCGAAAGCGUUUGCCCAGGAUGUUUUCAUUGA
rnacentral:rRNA from 1 species